rnacentral:lncRNA from 1 species
GAAUACUUCGGUUCCCUGUCCAUGCCACUAUUCUUAGAUUCUCAGGGGAUUUUUGUUUUGUUUUGUUUUGUUUGUUUGUUUGUUUGUUUUUCAAGACAGAGUUUCUCUGUGUCUUCCUGGCCAUCCUGGAACUCACUGUGUAGACCAGGUUGGCCUGAGUUUAGAGAGUCACUGCCUCUGCCUCCCAAGCACUGAGAUUUGAGCAAGGCAUGCACCACCUCUGCCCAGUCAGAUUCUCAUGGGAUUUUAACAGCAGAACUAUGUUUCAGAAUUCCAAAAGGUACUAUCAAAUUUAGACGUCAUCUGAGCAGUUUAUGAGAAGUGUAACAUUCUCUGAGACUUUACAAGCUGGCACUGAUGAGUAAUUGAAAACUUGAUUCAUUCCCCACACCAUGACUUUAAGAUGUGGUGGCAUACACCUUUAAUCCCAGCACACAGAGACCAACAUUCUCUCUUAGUUGCACACCAGUUUGGUCUACAUAGACACUGUCUCAAAAAAAAAAAAAAAAAAGAUAAGUGUUACCCUUGUGUAAUACUAUAGAGCCUGUAAUUUCCUUAACAUACGUAAGAGCAUAAGCAGUCAUAAUGGAGUCAGCAUUUGAAACUAGGUCAUUCUGUCUGGCUCCAAACCCAUGAUCUUGCCACUCUGCCAAGUUGAUAAGUAAAUUGGUCCCUAUU